rnacentral:rRNA from 1 species
UACGUAGGGUGCGAGCGUUGUCCGGAAUUACUGGGCGUAAAGGGCGCGUAGGCGGUUCGUCAAGUCCUGUGUGAAAUCCCCCGGCUCAACUGGGGAACUGCACAGGAAACUAGCGGGCUUGAGUUCGGGAGAGGGAAGCGGAAUUCCGGGUGUAGCGGUGAAAUGCGUAGAUAUCCGGAGGAACACCGGUGGCGAAGGCGGCUUCCUGGACCGACACUGACGCUGAGGCGCGAAAGCUAGGGGAGCAAACGGG